GACAUACUCCCUCCAUCCGGAAAUACUUGUCAUCAAAAUUAAUAAAAGGAGAUGUAUCUAGACGUAUAUUAGUUCUAGAUACACAUCUUUUUAUCCAUUUACUGACAAGUAUUUUCGAACAGAGGGAGUACCAU
rfam:Triticum urartu cultivar G1812 contig1229425, whole genome shotgun sequence.